GCUUGCUCUUCUUGGAUGAGUUGCGAACGGGUGAGUAACGCGUAGGUAACCUGCCUUGUAGCGGGGGAUAACUAUUGGAAACGAUAGCUAAUACCGCAUAACAAUGGAUGACACAUGUCAUUUAUUUGAAAGGGGCAAUUGCUCCACUACAAGAUGGACCUGCGUUGUAUUAGCUAGUAGGUGAGGUAAUGGCUCACCUAGGCGACGAUACAUAGCCGACCUGAGAGGGUGAUCGGCCACACUGGGACUGAGACACGGCCCAGACUCCUACGGGAGGCAGCAGUAGGGAAUCUUCGGCAAUGGGGGCAACCCUGACCGAGCAACGCCGCGUGAGUGAAGAAGGUUUUCGGAUCGUAAAGCUCUGUUGUAAGUCAAGAACGGGUGUGAGAGUGGAAAGUUCACACUGUGACGGUAGCUUACCAGAAAGGGACGGCUAACUACGUGCCAGCAGCCGCGGUAAUACGUAGGUCCCGAGCGUUGUCCGGAUUUAUUGGGCGUAAAGCGAGCGCAGGCGGUUUGAUAAGUCUGAAGUUAAAGGCUGUGGCUCAACCAUAGUUCGCUUUGGAAACUGUCAAACUUGAGUGCAGAAGGGGAGAGUGGAAUUCCAUGUGUAGCGGUGAAAUGCGUAGAUAUAUGGAGGAACACCGGUGGCGAAAGCGGCUCUCUGGUCUGUAACUGACGCUGAGGCUCGAAAGCGUGGGGAGCGAACAGGAUUAGAUACCCUGGUAGUCCACGCCGUAAACGAUGAGUGCUAGGUGUUGGAUCCUUUCCGGGAUUCAGUGCCGCAGCUAACGCAUUAAGCACUCCGCCUGGGGAGUACGACCGCAAGGUUGAAACUCAAAGGAAUUGACGGGGGCCCGCACAAGCGGUGGAGCAUGUGGUUUAAUUCGAAGCAACGCGAAGAACCUUACCAGGUCUUGACAUCCCGAUGCUAUUUCUAGAGAUAGAAAGUUACUU
rnacentral:rRNA from 1 species